UGAGGAAUAUUGGUCAAUGGGCGCAAGCCUGAACCAGCCAUCCCGCGUGCAGGAAGACGGCGCUAUGCGUUGUAAACUGCUUUUCCAGGGGGAGAAACUUCCGUACGUGUACGGAAUUGACGGUACCCUGGGAAUAAGCAUCGGCUAACUCCGUGCCAGCAGCCGCGGUAAUACGGAGGAUGCAAGCGUUAUCCGGAUUCAUUGGGUUUAAAGGGUGCGUAGGCGGACUAUUAAGUCAGUGGUGAAAUCCUGCAGCUUAACUGCAGAACUGCCAUUGAUACUGAUGGUCUUGAGUUUGGUUAAGGUAGGCGGAAUGUGUAAUGUAGCGGUGAAAUGCUUAGAUAUUACACAGAACACCAAUUGCGUAGGCAGCUUACUGAGCCGACACUGACGCUGAGG
rnacentral:rRNA from 1 species